ACGACCUUACUUGAACGGGAUCUGUUCUAUAGGUUCGUACAACCGUAUUCUUGAUUGCUAAGUUGACGGGCAACUCUGUCUGGUAGAUGACACGUAACCUUGGGAUUAGAGCGUGAUUAGCGGUGACGAUCUCUUGGGAUCGGUACUGUCGAGGAUCGUUCCUAUCUCUUGUUCUCAGGGGAUGGGGUGGUCCCGAGGUUGUCUGACAGACC